AAAAACUUUCCUUUUGUUUCCUUCUUUCUUUGUCAUGUGAAUCAAAUUGCAAUAAAGAUUGUCCAAAAUAAACAGGUAAUAUAGUUUUGAUAUUUCUAAAUCAUAAGAUAUUUCUGUUCUUGUUGCCAGUCAAAAUCCACAAGUAGAGUCUCAUCAAUGUUCUGUGGAACUCAAGACAAAUGUGCCGUCUGCAAGAAAACUGCAUACCCAUUAGAGAAGGUGAUCUAUAAAUACAAAUUAAAUUUUAACAUCACCCAAAGUGAAUGACUGAUUACAUGAAAUAAAUCUGUACAGUUAACUGUGGAGGGGGAGUCAUACCACAAGACAUGCUUUAGGUGUUCGCAUGGAGGCUGUCCUCUGACUAUGUCAUCCUAUGCUGCAUUAGAUGGAAUCCUCUACUGUAAGCAUCACUUUUCACAGCUUU
rnacentral:lncRNA from 1 species